rnacentral:misc_RNA from 1 species
UCCGGCUUAACGCCGGCAGUCCCCCUAGAGUGCCCAACUGAAUGGUGGCAACUAAGGGCGAGGGUUGCGCUCGUUGCGGGACUUAACCCAACAUCUCACGACACGAGCUGACGACAGCCAUGCACCACCUGUGAUCCUGCCCACAAGGGGAAACCGUGUUUCCACGGCGGUCAGGAACAUGUCAAACCCAGGUAAGGCUCUUCGCGUUGCGUCGAAUUAAACCACAUGCUCCGCUGCUUGUGCGGGUCCCCGUCAAUUCCUUUGAGUCUUAGCCUUGCGGCCGUACUCCCCAGGCGGGGUGCUUAAUGCGUUAGCGACGGCACGGAAGGGGUUGAUGCCUCCCACACCUAGCACCCAACGUUUACGGCUGGGACUAC